AACGACGAUGUCGAUCCGGCGCUUGUGCCCUUGAGGCGUGGCUUCCGGAGCUAACGCGUUAAAUCGACCGCCUGGGGAGUACGGCCGCAAGGUUAAAACUCAAAUGAAUUGACGGGGGCCCGCACAAGCGGUGGAGCAUGUGGUUUAAUUCGAUGCAACGCGAAGAACCUUACCUGGUCUUGACAUCCACAGAACUUUCCAGAGAUGGAUAGGUGCCUUCGGGAACUGUGAGACAGGUGCUGCAUGGCUGUCGUCAGCUCGUGUUGUGAAAUGUUGGGUUAAGCCCCGCAACGAAAA
rnacentral:rRNA from 1 species